ACAAAACAUUUAUCAAUCAAGAAAGUGAAAGAAAAAAAGAAAAAAUAUACCAAUACAGGUAAAGAUAAGGUAGUUACUAGUUGUGGGGGGUUUUGACACUUGUUCUUGAUGUUGAUUUCUUGGAAUUUUUCAAAGGCAGGGACAAUGAUUUGAUAGAAGCAGAGGAUAAGAGUGCAUUAGAAGGUAAAAAGGGGGUAUGAAAAAUAGGGAGAUUUGUGCUGGUGAAGAUUGAUGUCUCCAAACUAAGAAGAUGGGUCAUCUUUGUUCACUAUGUUUGCUCAGCGAGUUGACCAAAAACUCCCAACAAUGGCUGACUUGUCUGUAGAUAGGACAUGCUUAUACGGCGUCGUAUUUGCCAUUUGCUAAAACCCUUCUUAAACCGAUGAGAUUUUGUAAUGUUGGGGUCUUGAUGGGGUUUUGUAAUACUGUUAAUGGACUUAGAGAAGAAAUUUUUUUGGUGUGACGUUGGGACUGCAAUGGUAGUGGUGAUGGCUCUAAUGGUAAAUGACAGCCUUGAGGCUACAGUGGGGUGGGGUGGGGUGGAAAUAG
rnacentral:lncRNA from 1 species